AAUCAGAUUCAGCGUCGCCGGCCCGAGCUGCGUCUGAUCAUCUCCUCUGCAACAAUCGAAGCAAGAUCAAUGUCAACUUUCUUCAACAUUAGGCGGAAGAAUUCCUUGCUCGGGUCUUCUGAUGAUUUGCCCAACCCAGAACCUGCUAUACUUUCUGUUGAAGGUAAAGGAUACACCGUGGAAAUUCAUUAUGUUGAAGAACCUGUCUCAGACUACUUACGGGCUGCUGUGAAUACUGUACUUCUUAUUCAUGAAAAGGUUAUUCGCUUCUUGCUGUU